UAAUACAGAGGCCCCAAGCGUUACUGAGAAUCACUGGGUUUAAAGGGUGCGUAGGUGGUCCGUUAAGUCAGUUGUGAAAUCCCCGGGCUCAACCCGGGAACUGCUUCUGAUACUGGCGGACUUGAGGCCGGUAGGGGUCACUGGAACAGACGGUGGAGCGGUGAAAUGCGUAGAUAUCGUCUGGAACGCCGGUGGUGAAGACGGGUGACUUGGCCGGUUCUGACACUGAGGCACGAAAGCGUGGGGAGCGAACGGGAUUAGAUACCCCGGUAGUCCACGCCCUAAACGAUGCAGACUAGAUUGCAGCGGGUUACACCCCGUUGUGGUCGUAGAAAAAUUGUUAAGUCUGCCACCUGGGAAGUACGGUCGCAAGGCUA
rnacentral:rRNA from 1 species